AACCCACAGGGGAAUGAAAUAAACCCGGUCUGUGGGUAAAACUGAGGUCAAUAAUGUUAUAAACCCACAGGGGAGUGAAAUAAACCCGGUCUGGGGGAAAACUGAGGUCAAUAAUGUUAUAAACCCACAGGGGAGUGAAAUAAACCCGGUAAAUCUGGGGAGAGCUGAGGUCAAUAAUGUUAUAAACCCACAGGGGAGUGAAAUAAACCCGGUCUGGGGGAGAGCUGAGGUCAAUAAUGUUAUAAACCCACAGGGAAG